GUUUCGGCCACGACGCACGCAGGCAUGCACGCGUACACGAUCCACAAAUGUAGAACGUUUCUCCUCGCGAUUUGUUCGUUCUCGAUUUGCGGGCUGGUGAUGGCUCAACUGGACACCGGAUACCCUGACCAAAGGAUAGUGUUCCCCGGCGAUCCGAGGGCGAAGGAAACGGCGAAUCCUGGGGAGGAUGGAUCGAGUGCAAGAGGCGAAUUGUUGAAAUCGCUACAAUUAGCCAAGAAAAUCAAUUCCAUCAAUUCGAUCGACGAUUUCCUUAGAUUAGUGAAAGGUUUGCCGCAGGAUGUAUCUUUCUUCUCUCCAAGCAGUAGAAUGGGAGAAACUGAACGUUCGAAUGCCGAGCGACCAAAUCAAGCUUCGUGUAUGCCUGAAUUACAAACAGUUCCUCUAUUAGAAAAUGACGAUCCAUCUAUUAUUUAUUAUCCGACUUGUACACGGGUCAAAAGAUGCGGAGGUUGUUGUACUCACCCGUUCCUCUCUUGUCAGCCAACGGCUAUGGAAACCCGAAAUUUCGAGAUUUUCGUGACAGCUCUUGAAUCCAAUAAUGGAUUAAGGUAUCAAGGCAAACGUAUUGUACCGAUAGAGGAGCACACGCAAUGCACGUGUGACUGCAAAAUAAAGGAGACGGACUGUAACAAGAAACAGUCUUAUAUACCGGAAGAAUGUACAUGUGCGUGCAACAAUGUCGAUGAAAAGAAAAAGUGUAAUGAAAGCAACAUGAAAAUGUGGCAUCCAGAUCUUUGUAGCUGCUUUUGCAGAGAAGUACGGGAAUGUUCAACUGGUUUUUAUUUCGACCAAAAUUCAUGCAGGUGUGAACGGAACGACAAGGACUUCUAAUACGGGAAUAACAUAUUUUCUUCCUUGCUGCAUUUCUACUAUCUUGUAUAUCUUAUGCCUGCAAGUAUCACUAUCUAGAACUUGGUUUACAUCCACAAAAGGUUCUGAUUAUAGAUUCGGACAAACACAAAGACCGGAUAAUGUACCACCAGUAAUAAUUGCUCUAGAUUCAGAUGAUCCUAGAAGAAAACCUAAACCAGAUCCAGAAUAAGAAUCAGAUUGAUGAUUUAUAGACUAAAUUUUAAAACAAUUUGAUCUUUGUGCCAUUUUAUUACACACACACGAGUAUUGAUAUUAUUUAUGUAUUAAUAUUAGUUAUUGCAAGAAAUAAGUGAAUGUAUUUUUAUAUAUCAAAAAAAUAUUGUGAUAUAAGGAAAUACAAUUAUUUAAUAUAAA